rnacentral:lncRNA from 10 species
GGGGAGAGGACGAGGCCCUGGGGAGGGGCUGGAAAAGGCUUUUCACAGCGACUGGCACUUGAUAUUUCCAAGUCUUCUGGAUGUCACUCACCGGAAACCAGACCCUGCGGUGCGAAGACUCAGGACUCUGUGAUGUGGUGAGCUGGCCUUAUUCACCUUCUCCAUACCUUUCGAGGAUUUGGAUGCGUCUCUUGCACCUAUCUUAGCCGUCUUUCUUCCAUCCUGAAGAGACAUGCAUCUCUGUGGUGGCUCCUCCCUCCCCAAGGUCAUCGUGGCUGACUUGGGACCUUUCCCAGCUCUGUGUGUCUGUCUUGAAACACAGUUUAUCUUCUCUCCAUUGGUGCAUCCCAUAAGUGGCAAAGGCAAAAGCUGGACUGCAUUGUGUGGCCCCAGGGAGCUGCAGACAGAGGAACUGAGUCCUGGCCACUGUGCCUGCUGUCUCUUACAAGUUUAGAGAUGCUGGCAUUGCAUCGAAAUCGGACAACACUCCCUUCCCUCCCUUCCCAGAGACUCCCAGCUUUGGUGUCCUUAAGAAAGGGACUUACUGACUUCAUGCAUCUUUCAAGCAAAGAUUAACAACAAUGAUAAUAGAGUAAUAAGUUGGCCUGGAAUCUUGGCAAAACUGAAAACCACAUGUUCUGAGAGUCUCUUCCUGCGCUGGUAAUUAAGUUUCUUCCCCCUACAAAAUGAGACUCUUUUGGACCAACAGGCGUUAGGCAUGUGGACAUCUUGAUGGGAUCCCAUCUUCUCUUUUGAGGAUCAAAUCCUGGCCAACUUUGUUUGAUGUUCAGAGCCCUGUAUGGGAGUCAAAGCCUGCUAAUAAAGCAGUCGUGCCUGUUUGGAGUCAUUCUACAGCUCAGGACUUCAUCCCAGGAGGGAGGUGUAGUGGGUGACUCACUAACUGUAAUAUAAACAACGACAACAAAAGGGUCUCUGAGUCACACUGACAUUGUGGAAUCAAACAUAUAUCUCUGUGCCCUGACCCCCACCAAGGAUGCAGUCACACGGAUGUCCAGUUAUCUUCUAAUCAAUGCCCAGUCCAGAUGGUCACCACCCACCUCUGCAGCAAAAGUCACUGCGCAUUUGGAUAUCUACACAGCUUGUUUGUAACUGAGUUAGUGCAGCCUAGUAAGGUACAGAUGUUUUCCUUUUAAUCCUGUUUGUACUUUGAAAUGGUCACACUCGAUGUCAUUUGGCUGCAGGAAGCUCCUCCAGGAAUGAUCCCGCAAGAGAAAUGGGAUGUGCGUGGCACCAUCUGAUUCGGGGCAGCUCUGUCACUCCCUGCAGAACUGAGCACACUGAAUUUAUUUGAAUAGAACAGGUUAUGAGGGUGAGGAUAAACAUAUCAAUACCUCAUUUUUUUUUUGAACGCCGACUCUAUGAUCGGAUUACCUGGCCCUUCAAGAGAUGGAGUUCUGCUCGUCGCCCAGGCUGGAGUGCAGGGGCGCAGUCUUGGCUCACCACAACCUCUGCCUCCUGGUUCAAGCAAUUCUCCCGCCUCAGCCUCCCGAGUAGCUGGGAUUACAGGUGUGUACCACCAUGGCCGGCUAAUUUUGUAUUUUUAGUAGAGACAGGGUUUCACCAUGUUGGUCAGGCUGGUCUCGGACUCCCGAGCUCAGGUGAUCCACCCGCCUCGGCCUCCCAAAGUGCUGGGAUUACAGGCAUGAGCUUCCGCGCCUGGCCCUCUGGUUGUCUGUAAGUGUGUAGCACCUCCUCCUCUCUCCUCCUCCUGCUCCAGCCACCCAAGACAUGCCUGCUUCCCGUUCACCUUCCACUGUGAUUGUGAGUUUCCUGAGGCCUCCCCAGCCGUACUUCCUGGACAGCCUGCAGAACCGUGAGCCAAUUAAACCUCUUUUCUUUAUAAAUUAUCCAGCCUCAGGUAUUUCUUUAUAGCAGUGAGAGAACAGACUCAUACAACUGGGCAUGUCUUCUAAGCAAGGUACUAUUCUAAUCACCAGACAAUAGUGUGCUAGUAACUAUUUAACAACCGGCUCUACGAGAGUAAUCCUGCCAUGAUUACUCACCAUGAUUACGGUGGCUAAUAUUUUCAUUUAUGUUAACAAGUAAGAUAAAGGUAAAACAACAAAAGUGCACGCUGGAACUUGACUCCUUUGUCGAUGACAUGAGAGACUUCCUUGCUGAAUAUGAUAAUAGACUUCCUUGCUGAAUCUGAUCUGAUAAUCCUUUUUUUUUUUUUUUUUAAUUUUCUGAGACAGAGUCUGGCUCUGUCGCCCAGGCUGGAGAGCAGUGGCGUGAUCUCUGCUCACUGCAACCUCCACCUCCUGGGUUCACACCAUUCUCCUGCCUCAGCCUCUCGAGUAGCUGGGACUACAGGCACCCACCACAACGCCCGGCUAAUUUUUUGUAUUUUUUAGUAGAGACGGGGUUUCACCAUGUUAGCCAGGAUGGUCUAGAUCUUCUGACCUUGUGAUCCACCCGCCUCGGACUUCCAAAGUGCUUGGAUUACAGGUGUGAGCCACCGUGCCAGGCCCUGAUAAUAGUUAUGAAAUACUGGAAAAACAGUUUUAAAAUUCUCUGUGCUGUUUACACUUUAACAAUGACAUGCUUUUAUGUUUAAUCUACAUCAUUAAUACUUUUCUCCAUCCCUUCCUUAAAUCUAGACAACAAACCAAACAAUAGGGCAAGCUCUGGUUUGUAGUGUCUGCUGAUUCCUGUGGUGUGAAUACUCCCACCAUGGCCAAUAUCAAGCUGCCAACAUGGUGUCACUAUAUGCAGACUUGGGAAGAGAUGCCUGCUAGCACAUCAUGGUACAGAAUCUCCACUCUGCGGAUAUAAUAGGUGCAAACCCCAAGAGCAGAGCAGAGCAAACAGCAAAAUAAUUAAGGAGUGAUAUGUUUUGAAUAUUCAUUAUCUUUGUUUUCAAUAAAAUUUAUUUAAUUGUAGGCUUUUACAGUCUAAUUUGUAUUUUCAUUUAUUUAUGUGUAUUUAUUUAUUUUUAUUUUAAAAAGUAAAGAUGAGGUCGCCCUAUGUUGCCCAGGCUGGUUUUGAACUCCUGGACUCAGGCAACCCUCCUGCUUUGGCCUCCCAAAGUGCCGGGAUUACAAUCAUGAGCCACUGCACCCAGCCAGUCUAAUUUCUAAUAAUGGCUAUGUUUAACAAGCAAUUUGCAAAAUUCCUGAAAAUGUAAGAAUUGACUCUUCUGAGCUGGCAGGAGCUGACUCCAGC